AAGUUGGAUUUAAAUGAAGCCCAAGACCUGCGCCUGGGGAGCCACGUCCCAUCUCUUCGUGUGAUGCCACGAGGCAGCUCAGCACUAAGCUCUUCAUACAGCAACUUUCCUAAAGGAGAUGGGAGCCAUGGCCAUAUCCCUGUGCAUCGCUGCGGUGUGGGUGUGCAGAUGAACUGCUGUAUGCUUGGGUUUUAUAAACAGGAAUUCCCAAGCUGUGUAUCUUCCUACCAAGGGAGGAGAUGUUUAGCUUUUAACCUUUCUCCUGGAUGCAGUUGGAUUUUGGGAGCUGAAAUAGCUACGUCACAUCUCCUGUGUCAAAGGGGCAGCAAAAGGGAUGGAGCAGCACAAGGCCAAGCGUCAUGGCAGGAGAAGUGGAAGAGAGAGAACUCUGACCCACAGAGCAUCAAGAAGCUGGGUGAGAAGCUGGCACCACCUUGGUGGAUCUAUGGCUGUAUAGUCUGUAAAAGCCUGGCUCUGCUCUUUUGGGAAAGAAAAUGUAAGGUCUGGCCCAGGGAUGUCAAGGCAGAUGCCAAAAUGAGAUGUCACCAAAGGCAUUUUUCACUGAGCAAUCUCCCUUCCCACUGCGAGUAGAAGAGAAAGCUGUUUCUGCAGUUUGUACAUCCCUCCUGUACCACCACCCAUAAUGUCCCUGAUAAAUGAAACUCAGUGCUGGUUGCCUAUCGUCCCGCCAGGAGCUGACCAGGGAGGACUUCUGCAGCCAGCUGAAAGCCCAUCGCAGACCAUGCUUCCUCAGUAAUCUGUCAUCAGCAGAGCACACUAUCAGGACAAAAAGUCAAACUUCUUUUUUUUCCACUGAGUUCUGGUGAAGAGUCAGAGAUGUGGAAGCGACCUUUUUGAACUGGACCCUCUGGUGUUUCAGGCUCAACGCCUGCAGUGGAAUUGCCAGCUCAUGCCUGAACCAAUGAUUGAGCACCAGGUGAGGAGGCAUGGCUAAUCCAGGGAGCUCAGCUGCAAGCAGUACACCUGAGUGUCAAAAAUCACCCUCAUUUAAGGGUUAGCAGUGGAGGGAGCAGAGUUUCUCUGGAUAGGGAUCGUGCUUCUCUUGAGCUGCUACUGGUCAUCAGAAAGGGCUGCAAACAAGGCUGAAAUAACCAUUCUGGGUAAUAAGAGAGCUCCAUCACAUCGACUUGCUGCAUAAUUCCCUCCCAACAGACUGGCUCGGAUUUUGUUGCCUGCCUCUCUACCAGAUGAAAAGACCUCUAGCAGAGCAGCUGCAGGCAGUCUGUAUCGGGACACACUGAGGGAUAUUUUCUGGAUUGCCCAAGAAACAGCCAUCAGCUUGGAAGACACCCAUGGGCAGUGCUUUGCAGGAGGCAAUGCCAAAAGGUGCCCAAAGAUAAAUCACAGUUCAGUGGAGCCCAUGCAGUGGCAGCUGGGAUAUCCGAGCCAGCAGCAGAAGGCAAUAUGUGCUUCCAACCCAUCCCUCACCCCUGUAAAAACACACAAAUAGGAGCAGAAAGGCCACUGCCUGCGGGCCUCAGCCCUGAAGGGUUUCCAAUACAUCAGACCAACGGCCUGUAGAAGAACAAUUAUCUCAGAUCACAGAAUCACAGAAUCACAGAAUUGUAGGGGUUGGAAGGGACCUCCAGAGAUCAUCGAGUCCAACCGUCGCACAGGGUCUUGGUCUUCUCAAGGCUAUGGAUAGGCUUCUCAAGGCUAUCUGUCCCAACAGGCCAUCGGUCUAUGGCCUAUGGCACCCAGGGCUUUUAAUUGCUGUCAUAUUAGAAGGAUGCCAGAAGGAAAACACGAGGGAAAAGCCCCAUUCAGAGGUAGGUUCCUCUCUGCCAGGACUGGCUCGGAGGCAGCCUUUUUCCCUGAGUUUCAUUCACAGGAGCUUCUCAACUCUUUUACAGAGCUGCAUUUAGCCCUGGGUCCUGGCCAGCUCCUGAAAUCUCAUUUCCCUGGCAGUGAGGAUGGGAAGAGGGCCCUUGGUUUUGUUACCAAUCACUGCAGCCCUACCGAAGGCUGGGGAUGGAUGCUACCUCCCAGCCACCCGCUGUGCUGCACUGUGACUCUUUUAUUUUAGAAGGAAUGUAGUUAAACAGGGGAUAUUAGCUACUGGAAAAGCAACAGCAAAAUAUGCAAUGUUUCUUAAUUCUUACCAAAUAAAGGCUAAUUGUUCUGUGGAUAAAAUGAGGGGUCUUGGCCCUACAGCCAAGAUGCUGCAGACAGAAAGCAAAAGAAAAACAAGGCAAUGAACGAAACACAGAGAGGGCAACACAAACAAGAAAGCAAUGUGAUCUGUGAAACUAUUACAUAUAAUCUCUCCAUGUACUUAUACUGUAUGGGAGCUGCUCAGUCACGGCCUGAACCUCUGAUUGAUCACCUGAAGUGAGCCAUGAGUCAGCCAGAGGAGCACAGGUGAAGACAAUUCCUAGACCUAUUUAAGAGCUGGCUACGAGGGGGGAAGGAUUUCUCCUGGAGAUGUGCUCUGCUGGAGUUUUGUAAGUGAGCCCAGGAUACAGAGUUUGCCCAGACCAUCUGCAAGGUCGUGAUCCCCAGCACUGCUGAAAGCACGUGUAUGUGUGUGUGCAUGGGAGAUGAUGGGUCCAGGCAGCCUGAGCGCCAAGCCAGCCAUCUGCCUCACAGAAUGCCACAUGUGCUCCCUGUUUUUAAAAGGGAAUGGAGCAAAACAACCCCUCGUGAGAUAAUGGUUUGCAAAGUCCUCCGAAGUUGGCCCUGAAGUGCUGCAGUCCUCUGGUUGCUGGGGCAGGAAGCCCACGUCUGAAUCAACCCUGGACUUGGACUAUCCCUGGCUGCAGACUGAGCUCAUAAGGACUUCAUAACUUGCUGGCAAACCUUGAAGAA